CACACACACACACACGAAGAAAACUAUAAGAUAUGCCAUAUGAGGUGGUGCAUAACUCUAAUCUCAAUGCCUGAGUGAUAGAGGCAGGAGGAUCAUGACAUCUUUGAUGUCAGAGCAGGACAGGCUUAGUCACAUAGUAACACUCUGUCUUAACAAAAUAAUACAAAACAAGACAAGAAAAAACACAGAGGAUACAUUUACCCAGCUACCACUAUGGAGUAAGAGUCAAGAAACAGUUAUGGGUCUCCUCUUUGUCUCUCCUCUCCCUGUGUUCACUUAGAAAUGUAAUCCGCACACCACUAUUCACCCCUCCUUUUCUUUUCACUGUGCUUUCUCUAUUCUUAGGCAAGCUUAGUAAAGUAGUCUUCAGGGCAACCCAGAAAUGGUAGAAAUUCACUUCCUACAGGAACAACUCUGAAGAAGAAACAGAAACCUAUAAAUACAAAGUGCCAUGGAGCAGGUGUUAGUAGGAUACUGAACCCCAAAAUAACAGACGGAUAAGUUUUCUUGUUUGUUUUCCCUCUUCUGACUCAUUUUCCCUAUUUCUUCCUUAUCCUUUGGGAACCAUGCCCCAAAAGACUAGUUAUGCCACUAUUUGUUUCAUUAAGCUUCCUUUCCUUUUAUUUAUUUUUUAACAGAGGCUCUAUCUACAUAGGCCUAAUGCUGGGAUUACAGGCUUUACAGGCUCACAAGGAGUACACCAUCUGUCCCGGUUUUCUAAUGGGUUUUAAAUAAUCCAAAUUAAACCCACAUGAGUACUAGACCUUAAUUAUGUACUAGAAAUGCAGCCUAAACCAAAUCUCUUUAGUAACACCAAACUUCUGAAUAACCAUAGUAAUUAUCCUUUAGUUUUGUUUUGGUUUGGUAUUCUGUAUAAAGCAGCAGUGGAGUAGGAAGGGAAGAUCACAUGUGAGGCACAGUGAAUUUACAACAUGGAAGAAAAUGGACCUUUAAAAUACAAUAGGAAAGGGGCUGAAAAUAACCAGUUCAGCAAAGAUCAGUAAAAAGAACCAAUACUGGAAAAGAGAAGAACAUUAUUGACAGAUUCUUGAUUCGAGAAGGAUGCCAGAGCUGUUGCACAAUAUUGCUGCACAAAAGGAGAGACCUCUAAAGACUUUCACAAAGACUUUAACUCUGCAACUGUCUCUUCAUCAUGAGCCACUAACAUGCAUGGACAAAUGGGUAGGUAAUGGAAGGUAGGAGAAAUGAAGUUCCAAUCUUUUAAGUAUGUGAUAACCAUGACACACAAAUUCUGGAAGCACAAAUGCAGAUUGGGCAUUUCAACUAGAGGAAUGCAAAUACUGGAUAAUUUCAUCAAAUACCUAUGUGGAAAGGGCUCCAACUUAAGAAACCAAACAAGAUUUAUAUCUCACCAAUGAUUAAAAACAAGACCUAAUAUUGUGAUGGUAAUUAAAACUAAAAUGACUGCUUUUGGAGAGAAAGAAGGGCCAACAUUUCCUAAAAGUAAAGGGUAAACCUGAAAAGCUCCUGAAGUAAGAGUCUCAAGGGAAUAUUAAGUAGCCUGUUAAGAUAAAAAAGGUACCAGAAAAAUUUAAUAUGACCAUAUAAAGAUAAAGUAACUAAUUUUUGUCAUCUUAAAUUAGUGUGAGGCUAGAUUUUGCCCACCAUAUGCAUGUAACUUAGUGCAAAGAAAUGGUACUUCAGAUUUCACUGUGAAGAAUACGGAUAUGGUCACAAAACUAAUUCAUGCCUUUAACUAAUAUCUGUAGAAAACACUCUAAUCUACAAGCUUUAAACAUUGUAAAUAAUACUACUAUAAACUAAGUGAUACUAUCAAUCUUCAUAUUUACAAUACUCUGACUCGAUGUGGUUGAUUCCCUAAGCUGUUGUUUACUCGUGGCCGUAAAUCACAGCUAUUUUCUAAUCUUGACUAAAUUCUUCUUGAUGCUUAUUUAGCAAGUAAUAAAUUGAAUACAUUUGUGAAUGAAUAAGAACAUGUUUUCUCUUAGUUACAUGGUAAAAGACUAUGAAAAGUUAGACAGCAUCUCACAUCUCACACAGCAUUCAGUAAGCUGUUAUAGAGAAAAAAGUAGGAGGUGGUUAAUGAUAUUGAGCAUCAAUAAUUACCAACUAAUAGACCAUCGUCUUCCUUGACUAUCAUUUUAAUUAUAAUGUUAAUACAUAUAAGAAGAUGGGGAUAGAAGAUAAGUAAUUUAACAAUGCAAUGCUACUAAUGUCUGAUCUGAGGGCUUGUUAUCUGCUCUUUACUAGUCACACGCCAGACAUUAAUACAUUUCCUUCUCAUAACAGUCUUAUGGCAUAGGUAUUUCUUUUGAGUCUAUUGUACAAAUGGAAACUAAAGGUGAGAGAAUUUUAGUUACAGUUCCAGGUUACAUAGCUACUUAUUACUAGAUGUGCAAAAACGGAAAUCUUGCUUCUGUAACCCCAUUAAAAGUCAUCUGUAGUGGCCUUUGCCACUGAUUCAGGGACAGAAGAGUAGACAAUGGUCACAUAAUCAUAACCAAAGUUUCAGUGUCCUGUUCCUAGACUUUAAGCACCCUCAUAGAAGCAAAGAGAGGGGAGAUGGCACAGUGGGUUUCCAGAGCAGAAACUGGA
rnacentral:sRNA from 1 species